GUCGAACGGUAACAGGUCUUCGGAUGCUGACGAGUGGCGAACGGGUGAGUAAUACAUCGGAACGUGCCCAGUAAUGGGGGAUAGCUCGGCGAAAGCCGGAUUAAUACCGCAUACGCCCUGAGGGGGAAAGUGGGGGAUCGCAAGACCUCACGUUAUUGGAGCGGCCGAUGGCUGAUUAGCUAGUUGGUAGGGUAAAGGCCUACCAAGGCGACGAUCAGUAGCUGGUCUGAGAGGACGAUCAGCCACACUGGGACUGAGACACGGCCCAGACUCCUACGGGAGGCAGCAGUGGGGAAUUUUGGACAAUGGGGGAAACCCUGAUCCAGCAAUGCCGCGUGUGCGAAGAAGGCCUUCGGGUUGUAAAGCACUUUUGUCAGGGAAGAAAUCCUUUGGGCUAAUACCCUAGGGGGAUGACGGUACCUGAAGAAUAAGCACCGGCUAACUACGUGCCAGCAGCCGCGGUAAUACGUAGGGUGCAAGCGUUAAUCGGAAUUACUGGGCGUAAAGCGUGCGCAGGCGGUUGUGUAAGACAGGUGUGAAAUCCCCGGGCUUAACCUGGGAAUUGCAUUUGUGACUGCACGACUAGAGUGUGUCAGAGGGGGGUGGAAUUCCACGUGUAGCAGUGAAAUGCGUAGAUAUGUGGAGGAACACCAAUGGCGAGGGCAGCCCCCUGGGAUAACACUGACGCUCAUGCACGAAAGCGUGGGGAGCAAACAGG
rnacentral:rRNA from 1 species